rnacentral:lncRNA from 1 species
ACUAAUAUCAUAACAAAUGUUAAAUUUUUCCUUUCAAGUUUGUGGGAGGUGCAAUUUGAAGCUUUCUUAUUUUAACAUAUAUCUCACACAUCCCUCAUAAUUUGAAACCAUUAAGAAAUCUGAGAUCCCUUGAAAUUGAAACUAGUCUUUUAAUUUUUUUCUCAUUUUCACCGCACAGUAGUAGUGCUAUGCCAGUCUUUUUUCCUCUUUAAAUCCCUUAAAGAAAGCAUGCAAGAACCACACUGUUAACAGAUUUCAUUCACUGUUUGGUGUUGUUAAUUAAAAUAAAUUCAAACUUAUAUUCUCAUAUGAUAGAAAAUGACAUCGAGAUUCUAUAAUCCAAGCCUCUUAAUUUAUUGCAACAUUAACUGAGGGAGAAAAAUAUUAUAUCAUUUACCAAUGCUCAUACAAUUAAUUAAUGUCAAAGUGAGGACAAAAAUUCAGGUGCCUCAAUGGAUCCGAAGGUGAUUUGGCUGCACUAUCUGCCACCUCUUUGUUCACCAGAGUUGAAACUGCUGAUCUGGUUGCCUAGACUGGUGUUUCCUUCCUCCCUCCUCGCACCCCUCCAGAACCUGAGCACUCGGUCAAGAGGAUGACCUUCCCUUAUAGAAAAGAACCAGUCUUCUGUAAAGAAUAGAAGAGUAGCUGCACUUACCUGCUAGAAAUUCCAGACAAUUUCUCAAGAUCCUUUUUCCUUUUACUUUUUUCUUUCCUUUUUUUUUUUUUUUUUUUUUUUUUUUGGAGACAGGGUCUCACUCUCUCACCCAGAUUGGAGUGCAGUGGCCCGAUCUCGGCUCAUUGCAACCUCCGCCUCCCAGGCUCACAUGAUUCUCCUGCCUCAGCCUCCUGAGUAGCUGGAUUACAGGCUAACACCACCACUGCACAGCUAAUUUUUGUAUCUUCAGGAGAGAUGGGGUUUCAGGCUGGUCUUGAACUCCUGACCUCAAAUGAUCCACCCUCCUCAGCCUCCCAGACUGCUGGAAUUAUAGGCAUGAGCCACCGCACGGGCCUCAAGAUCCAAUUCUAAGAGAACAUAGAGUAGUCAAGCUUCCAAGACUCCAGACACAUCCAAAUGAGGUGCUGCAUGUGGCAGUCUGCCAUUUGUAAAGAAAGAAAGAAAAAAAAAACAGACUUUAGGUUCCUUAAUUUUCAGAACAAAGUCCUUUCUAUUAUCCCAUAUUGUAUUAUCACUUGAAAAAAAUCACCUAUGUUUUUCAUGGAAUAUAAAGGCAUGUAUAAUAUGCCAUUAUAUAUGUAUAUGUAUGCAUACCUAUAUAUCUAUAUAUAAUAUACAUAUGUAUUUUUUCUGUUAGUUUCCAUUUCCUCGUUCAUGUCUUAUAAUAGAUUUAUAGAUAUGUGGACCCAUACA